rnacentral:tRNA from 1 species
AAUAAGAUGCCUGAUAAAAGGGCUAUUUUGAUAGAAUAGAUUAUGUAAUAAAUUACUCUUAUUA